rnacentral:rRNA from 1 species
AUUGAACGCUGGCGGCAUGCCUUACACAUGCAAGUCGAACGUGAAAGCGGGGCAACCCGCAAGUAGAGUGGCGGACGGGUGAGUAAUACAUCGGAACGUGUCCAGUAAUGGGGGAUAACCUAGCGAAAGUUAGGCUAAUACCGCAUACGAUCUGCGGAUGAAAGCGGGGGAUGCGGCACUAAAGGCUUUUGGCGAAGGUGGCCAAAGGUGAGUCAAGAGCUUUUAGUGCNGCACCUCGCGUUAUUGGAGCGGCUGAUGUCUGAUUAGCUAGUUGGUGAGGUAAAGGCUUACCAAGGCGACGAUCAGUAGCUGGUCUGAGAGGACGGCCAGCCACACUGGG